GAUGAACGUUGGCGGUGUGCCUAAUACAUGCAAGUCGAACGGAGUCAGUAGCAAUAUUGGCUAAGUGGCGAACGGGUGAGUAACGCGUUGGUGAUCUGCCUUGAAGUGUGGAAUAACGUUUCGAAAGAGACGCUAAUACCGCAUGUGCUCUCGAUUUUCAGAAAGUUGAGAGUAAAGGAUUUAUUCGCUUCAAGAGGAGCCUGCGUCCCAUCAGCUGGUUGGUAGGGUAACGGCCUACCAAGGCUAUGACGGGUAGGGGACCUGAGAGGGUGGCCCCCCACAAUGGAACUGAAACACGGUCCAUACACCUACGGGUGGCAGCAGUGAGGAAUUUUCCGCAAUGGGCGCAAGCCUGACGGAGCGACGCCGCGUGAGGGAUGACGGCCUUCGGGUUGUAAACCUCUUUUAUUAAGGAAAAAGGCAAUCGUGCUAAUACCACGGUUGUUUGAUGGUACUUAUUGAAUAAGCCCCGGCUAACUACGUG
rnacentral:rRNA from 1 species